ensembl:lncRNA
CACUUUUGUGAGGGUCAAACUGCAGCCCCCCACUUGAAAGGGCAGCUUGCUAAGAAGUGUAGACUGGAUUCCACUCAAUGACCAAGAUUCGGACUUCCUUGCUUUCUUGCUUUUAUUUUUAAAAUUGUCCAAGUCAAACCAGGUGAAAAACCUUGAAAUACAAACAUGAAUAUAAGGUCAAAGAAAUAUAACCCAAGAAACCAUAAUCAAUUCACAUACCCAACAUCACAUACUUAAUUUAUAAUCUACUGGAAAUUAACCUCAAAAUAAGUAGAAAGGCAACCCAAAUU